AUUGUCCUUAGCGGUGAUAAUAUUCCUUGCGUCACUGGGUGUUAUUCUUAACACCUCCCUCGUGUGCUCAUGGUUUGAAUGACAAGGGCUUGAUAUGUAGUGAGAGACAGUGAGAAGUGAACUGCUUUAUACAUGACCCUACAACUCCUGUCAUUAAAGAAGGUCACUGGCUGUGUUCCUGUGCAGUGACAUGACAUUUCAUUUCUGUUCUGCUCUAGGGUUACACCCCGCUGCACAUUGCAGCUCUGCACGACCACAGGCACAUCAUCGAUCUUCUAAUCAACUACGGUGCAAAGCAGAAUGUUCGGGAUUACAGUGGCCACUUAGCCCUGCAGUAUCUCAAAAUGCAGCAUUCCAGCGAUGGCAGGAGUGAUGCACAAUUCCCUGUCUCUCACGGGAAUACACGCAGGAGCAGGAAGCUGGCGACGCUUUUCUCCGGAAGCUCGAAGAAGAGGUGGGGCUCGGCGGAGGACCUUGCAAGUGGGGAGGAGAAGGGGGGAGGGUCCCAGCUGCUCAUGCCGCCGGCGUUCAGACCCAGGAAGUUCUCCCGGUAACAGGUGGAGGCAGAGACGGCUACUCCCCAAGUACCUGCAGCUGCACAACACCAAGGAUGCCAUUGAAGGGAUGGCUACUGCACCCUUAAAACAGCUGCUUUUAAAAUGAAAAGCUGGCAUUUGUUCUGCAAAAAUAUAGCGCAGCGUUUUCAGUAAGGGAUUCAGGUAUCUGGGGCUGGAAACACAAAAUGCUACAGUCCUUUUAAAUGUGCAGUUCUUCCUGUGAAUAUAUCGCUUUUAUUUCUUUGUUUGCUUUUAUUUUGCUGUCUCCAAAAACCAAGGUGCUGUGCAUAUAGUCUUAGGUGUUUCAUAUAAACUCUACGACAGGUCUAGUGGAAUCACACACAGCAAUGUGUAUAUUUUCUGCACAAUGGCUGAAGUACUGCAGUACUGCCAUAUGAGCACUGGGGCUUAUUUCAAUGUAGUUUCACAUAGGACUAGAUUUAAAAAAUAUAUAUGGGGUUUAGAUUUUCCUAAAAAUUGGAAACAAACAAAUCAGUAACUAACUAGUGUUUUGCUGAUGUAGGGGUCGUGCAUUUUUGUAUAGCUGUAUGUAUAAUUUGCAUUUUUUACAGUGUUGUAAUAAUUGGUUGGUGCUCUGUGAAACUCUGGAGCGAAUGCAGGGAGACGGACUCCCUCCGUUCAGACUGCAAGAGCGCAUUCGCUGUUUUGUUUCUGUUGCUAAUGGGUUGAUUGCCCAUGUCACUUGUGCAGAGUACCUCCAGGAGCCUCCUCUAAGGGUAUUACGUUCAUGAAGGUUUUAAAGGCAAGCCUGUUCUUCCAUUGAGAAGGGCAUGGUGUUUGAGGUGUUAAAGAAUUCCAGAAUGGAAUCCAGACUCUUAACAUUCCACAAGAGUGUUCUGAUGUUCUAACUGCAUUGCAUCAUGUAAACAGCACUGCAGAAGUGUUGAGCUGGGACUGCAAGUCUUAUAAUGUUACAGAAGAAUUGUUUGUCAUUUUAUCCUGCUAUGUUUUUUUUUUUUUUUUUUUCUUAUGCAGGAAGUAACAAAUAUCAAGCUUAGAGAUCACAUGUUCUGUCUUCAUUUUUAUAUAUAUAUAUAUAUAUAAAUAUAUACCGCAUAUGCAAAAAAAUAUUUGCUGUGUAAUCUAUUUUUGCAAUUGGUAAACAAAUAAAUGAGUAGACUUGCAAA